rnacentral:sRNA from 1 species
AGCAGCAGCCAUGGGGAAGCCGGGCGUGGAGGCAGCACCGGGCUCGGAGCUGGCCAGGGUUCCCUAGCCUAUGGAGCACGCAGCCACCACAGGCCCCAGGCCUGGACCUCCCUCUCGGCGGGUGGAGAAUGUUGUGCUACGAGCCAAGGACUGGCUGCCAGGAGCUCCUGGGGGCACCGCAGUGUGGGCCACCAGCUUGGAAGCAGAGGUCCCACCAGAUCUAGCGCUCAAUAAGGAGCAGCAGCUGCAGAUCUCCAAGGAGCUGGUCGACAUUCAGAUCACAACCCACCACCUACAUGAGCAGCACGAGGCUGAAAUCUUCCAGCUGAAGAGUGAGAUCCUUCGGCUGGAGAGCCGGGUACUGGAGCUGGAGCUGCGAGGAGAUGGCACCAGCCAGGGCUGUGCAGUCCCAGUGGAGUCUGACCCCAGGCACCCCCGGGCAGCAGCCCAAGAGCUCAGACACAAAGCCCAGGUGCCUGGACACUCUGAUGACCACAGAUUCCAGGUGCAGCCCAAGAACACCAUGAAUCCCGAGAAUGAGCAGCACAGGCUGGGGAGCGGCCUGCAGGGGGAAGUGAAGCGGGUGCUGGAGCGUCAGGAGGCCUGGCAGCAGGCACUGGUGACGCGUGUGUGAGUGGCCAUCUCACCUGGGGCCCCAUCCUGGAGCAGAGAGAACCCCUGAUCGUGGGCCUGCUGAGCCUCACCCCCGUGUCUUCAGGGCAACCCUGGGCCGGCAGCUGCAGGGAGCCCGAGAGGAGGCCAGGGCAGCCGGGCAGCGACUGGCCACACAGGCUGUGGUGAGGCUCUGCCCUGACUGCUUGGAGACCUGGAGGGUGGGGGCCCCAGAAGCUCAGCCGGGGUCCACUCUCAGGGCACAGGUGGAGGGCUGCUUCCACCCCAGGUGCUGUGCAGCUGCCAAGGCCAGCUCCGUCAGGCAGAGGCCGAAAAUGCCCGGCUGCAGCUGCAGCUCAAGAAACUGAAGGAUGAGUACGUCCUACGGCUUCAGCACUGCGCCCGGCAGGCAGUGGUGAGCCCUGCAGGAGCACCCUGAGGCCUAGGGAGCCCAAGCCUGGCCUGGGUGUGCUGGAUAGCUUCAGGGAGACCCCAGGGCCCCAGCACUGCUCAGCCUGCUGGGGUGGGGGGAUGGUUGGAAAAGAUGGGGGGUG